rnacentral:lncRNA from 1 species
GCUGAGUCGAGGCACUCAAAGGCAGCUGUGCCAGCAAGCCAGCAAGCAGUUCCCUUUGUAGACGAGGUUUGGGGGAGUUGUGCCCACUGUUAUCCAUGUGCUCACCUCACCUCACUCCGGCCUCUCUUACAUUUCCCAGUAUGACUAGUUCUCAUCCUUGCUCUCUGUGCUGGGCGAGCCCCUGCUGAGAAUCCAGGGUCUGAGACUUGAGCAGGUGGCGUGCCCAAGAGGUCAGACUAAUCCAAAUGAUCAAUACUGAUGGAUGCAGAAACCCACUCCCAUGGCCUUCCCGGUUUUCUGGAAUGGCAGCGACCUGUAGUUGAGAACUGCUGUGCCUACAGCCAUCAUCUCUAAACCAGACUUUCUGAUUUCCUUCUGUGGCCAGGAGAGCAUGCGAACACUAACCUCCCCCUGCUAAUCUCAAGGGGACUGAAAGCCAGAAGAACAAGAGAGAGAAAGCUUAUGUCGAAAACCCAAUUCCCUGAUAAUGGAAACGGAUGAAGAUGGAUUUGAAAGGCCAUGGGGCUUCUGGUUCUGCCCUGAGGUGAAGAGGGCUCUGAGCAGAGGGAAAGGCAAACAGAAAAGCAGUUGUCUGCCUUUGCAGAAGUGAUGCCAACAGCCUGCACCUCCUCAGGUUAAUGAACCAGCAAAACCU